rnacentral:misc_RNA from 1 species
CCGAGUUUAGCAACUCCCAAACCCAUGUGAACAUACCUACUGUUGCUUCGGGCGGGAUUGGCCCCGGGCGCCUCGUGUGCCCGCGGAUCAGGCGCCCGCCUAGGAAACUUAACUCUUGUUUUAUUUUGGAAUCUUCUGAGUAGUUUUUACAAAUAAAUAA